AUUGAACGCUGGCGGCAGGCCUAACACAUGCAAGUCGAGCGGAUGAAGGGAGCUUGCUCCUGGAUUCAGCGGCGGACGGGUGAGUAAUGCCUAGGAAUCUGCCUGGUAGUGGGGGAUAACGUCCGGAAACGGGCGCUAAUACCGCAUACGUCGUGAGGGAGAAAGUGGGGGAUCUUCGGACCUCACGCUAUCAGAUGAGCCUAGGUCGGAUUAGCUAGUUGGUGGGGUAAAGGCCUACCAAGGCGACGAUCCGUAACUGGUCUGAGAGGAUGAUCAGUCACACUGGAACUGAGACACGGUCCAGACUCCUACGGGAGGCAGCAGUGGGGAAUAUUGGACAAUGGGCGAAAGCCUGAUCCAGCCAUGCCGCGUGUGUGAAGAAGGUCUUCGGAUUGUAAAGCACUUUAAGUUGGGAGGAAGGGCAGUAAGUUAAUACCUUGCUGUUUUGACGUUACCAACAGAAUAAGCACCGGCUAACUUCGUG
rnacentral:rRNA from 1 species